rnacentral:rRNA from 1 species
UACGAAGGGGGCUAGCGUUGCUCGGAAUCACUGGGAGUAAAGCGCGCGUAGGCGGGUUUUUAAGUCAGGGGUGAAAUCCUGGAGCUCAACUCCAGAACUGCCUUUGAUACUGGCGAGCUCGAGUCCGGGAGAGGUGAGUGGAACUGCGAGUGUAGAGGUGAAAUUCGUAGAUAUUCGCAAGAACACCAGUGGCGAAGGCGGCUCACUGGCCCGAUACUGACGCUGAGGUACGAAAGCGUGGGGAGCAAACAGG